CCUACGGGAGGCUGCAGUAGGGAAUCUUUCACAAUGGGCGCAAGCCUGAUGGAGCAACGCCGCGUGCAGGAUGAAGGCCCUCGGGUUGUAAACUGCUUUUAUAAGCGAGAAAUAUGAUGGUAACUUAUGAAUAAGGAUCGGCUAACUACGUGCCAGCAGCCGCGGUCAUACGUAGGAUCCGAGCAUUAUCCGGAGUGACUGGGUGUAAAGAGUUGUGUAGGUGGCAUAAUAAGUAGCUAGUGAAAUCUGGUGGCUCAACCAUUCAGACUAUUAGCUAAACUGUUAAGCUCGAGACCGUUAGGGGCAUCUGGAAUUUCUAGUGUAGGAGUGAAAUCCGUAGAUAUUAGAAGGAACACCGAUAGCGUAGGCAGGAUGCUGGGACGGUUCUGACACUAAGGCACGAAAGCGUAGGGAGCAAACGGGAUUAGAUACCCCAGUAGUC
rnacentral:rRNA from 1 species